GUAAAUUGAAAGCUUUUCAAAUGAGCCAAGCAAAUUUCAAUUUUAUCAAAAUAGCAGGCUUACCAUGUAGAAAACCGACAGUGGGGAAAAUCAAUUUGUUACCUUAAGCACUUUCACGAAAUGAAGCUGUCAUUCAAUCCGCACAAUCAGCAAUUAUCCACUUUACGAUUCGACCAAUGAACUUCAACUGAUUGUGAGAAGGAGGCGAGCGGAUAAGGAUUUGGCAGCCCAGAACAGAAAAUACCUAAGGACAUGCCAUUGUGGCGCGAACACACAAAACACACAAAUUCAGGUCAAUUCCUUUGGGUAUUCCGCCGAUACAAAAAAUCGCAUGAAAUUCCAAGCGUUUUACGACUUCACGAAAAGUCAUCGCAAAAAUGUUAUGGAAAAAGGUGCUGGGGAAAUGGAAUGGCGUCAAUGUUGGCGAAAAUAUCAACGAAAAUUCCAGCACAUUUUUUAUUGAACAACUUCGAUUGAGCGAUGCUGCUGCUCCUCUUCUAAAACCAUUCGCCCUAUCUUCCGAGCAAGGAGCUAAAUAAACUCAAUACUGAAAUCCUUUUAAAAUGGCAGCACUGACGCCAGCAAUAAAAAGCGCAAACGACAGCGCAACUCGGUCUUUUUUUUAUCCUCGAUGUCGAAAGGAAAUGUCGUCAUUACUGUGCAACUUCGGAUUCGAUAUAAAACAAAAAAAAGUACACAAAAAAGUAGACAGUCCACAAAAAUAAAUAGAGGACGCGGAAUGCUCGCCAUGCUCGACACUUUUACACUUGACAAUUUCGCUAACGCAAUAUGCAAAUGUGUUAAGAAUCUCACAAAUUUGUUAAGCAAAUCGAAGAAAAGCCAGCAGGGCGUGUAACAAAACGAAGAAGAAAACAACAGCCCGGCACAUUUAUCAUCUGGAAGGUUGAACGACUGGGCCGAUUCAUAUAUAUAUGGGUACUUUUUGGGGUGGUGAUGGUGGUGGGCUGUGAAUCACCCCAGUGAUUUAUUCAUGUGGCAGGUAACACCACGUUGGGGUUAAUGGCGGCACGAGCAAUUGCCGCAUUUUGCCGGUUUUAUGAGCUGCCAAAGAGCUCGCCAACAGGCCAGGCCAAUACUAACUGGAGCAUUCAGCCGUUCCCAAUACUCCCACCCCCACCACCAAAUCGCCAUCCAUCUCCCGAACAUCAAUAAAAGAUUUGUUCCUUUUGGGUCUGCCUAAAUGGCCUCAUAACGAAUGCGAAAAAUGGAAAAUGGAAUGCAGUGGCAAGUGAGUGCGCUGAAUACCCUUCACCAAAGUGAUAAACUUAAGACAUUGUAGCUGCAAAGUGCCAAUAGAGGAUAUGGUUGAAACACAGUGCGUUUUUAUUGGGAGAUGAGUGGAUUGGAUUGAAAGUUGGCAAAAAAAAGCUAACAUUGCUGGUUGUUUUUUAAACAUUUUA
rnacentral:sRNA from 1 species